AGUGAACGCUGGCGGUAGGCCUAACACAUGCAAGUCGAACGGCAGCACAGUAAGAGCUUGCUCUUACGGGUGGCGAGUGGCGGACGGGUGAGGAAUACAUCGGACUCUACUUUUUCGUGGGGGAUAACGUAGGGAAACUUACGCUAAUACCGCAUACGCCCUACGGUUGAAAGCUGGGGAUCUUCGGACCUUGCGCGAUUGAAUGCGCCGAUGUCGGAUUAGCUAGUUGGCGGGGUAAAGGCCCACCAAGGCGACGAUCCGUAGCUGGUCUGAGAGGAUGAUCAGCCACACUGGAACUGAGACACGGUCAAGACUCCUACGGGAGGCAGCAGUGGGGAAUAUUGGACAAUGGGCGCAAGCCUGAUCCAGCCAUACCGCGUGGGUGAAGAAGGCCUUCGGGUUGUAAAGCCCUUUUGUUGGGAAAGAAAAGCAGCAGGUUAAUACCCCGCGGUUCUGACGGUACCCAAAGAAUAAGCACCGGCUAACUUCGUG
rnacentral:rRNA from 1 species